AGUGAACGCUGGCGGUAGGCCUAACACAUGCAAGUCGAACGGCAGCACAGUAGAUCUUGCUCUUACGGGUGGCGAGUGGCGGACGGGUGAGGAAUACAUCGGAAUCUACUUUUUCGUGGGGGAUAACGUAGGGAAACUUACGCUAAUACCGCAUACGACCUACGGGUGAAAGCAGGGGAUCUUCGGACCUUGCUCGAUUGAAUGAGCCGAUGUCGGAUUAGCUAGUUGGCGGGGUAAAGGCCCACCAAGGCGACGAUCCGUAGCUGGUCUGAGAGGAUGAUCAGCCACACUGGAGCUGAGACACGGUCCAGACUCCUACGGGAGGCAGCAGUGGGGAAUAUUGGACAAUGGGCGCAGGCCUGAUCCAGCCAUACCGCGUGGGUGAAGAAGGCCUUCGGGUUGUAAAGCCCUUUUGUUGGGAAAGAAAAGCAGCAGGUUAAUACCCCGCUGUUCUGACGGUACCCAAAGAAUAAGCACCGGCUAACUUCGUG
rnacentral:rRNA from 1 species